rnacentral:rRNA from 1 species
UGCAAGUCGAACGCGAAAGUCCCGCAAGGGAUAAGUAGAGUGGCAAACGGGUGAGUAACACGUGGGUGACCUGCCUUCGAGCGGGGGAUAACGUCCCGAAAGGGACGCUAAUACCGCAUGACAUCCUGCCUUUGAAGAGGUGGAGAUCAAAGCUGGGGAUCGCAAGACCCAGCACUCGAAGAGGGGCCCGCGCCUGAUUAGCUAGUUGGUGAGGUAACGGCUCACCAAGGCAACGAUCAGUAGCCGGCCUGAGAGGGCGGACGGCCACACUGGGACUGAGACACGGCCCAGACUCCUACGGGAGGCAGCAGUGGGGAAUUGUUCGCAAUGGGCGCAAGCCUGACGACGCAACGCCGCGUGGAGGACGAAGACCUUCGGGUCGUAAACUCCUUUCGAUCGAGACGAAUGGCCUCCGGGUGAACAGUCCGGAGGAGUGACGGUACCGAGAGAAGAAGCCCCGGCUAACUCCGUGCCAGCAGCCGCGGUAAUACGGGGGGGGCAAGCGUUGUUCGGAAUUACUGGGCGUAAAGGGCUCGUAGGCGGCCAACUAAGUCAGACGUGAAAUCCCUCGGCUUAACCGGGGAACUGCGUCUGAUACUGGAUGGCUUGAGAUUGGGAGAGGGAUGCGGAAUUCCAGGUGUAGCGGUGAAAUGCGUAGAUAUCUGGAGGAACACCGGUGGCGAAGGCGGCAUCCUGGACCAACACUGACGCUGAGGAGCGAAAGCCAGGGGAGCAAACGGGAUAGAUACCCCGGUAGUCCUGGCCCUAAACGAUGAAUGCUUGGUGUGGCGGGUAUCGAUCCCUGCCGUGCCGAAGCUAACGCAUUAA